rnacentral:rRNA from 1 species
AUUGAACGCUGGCGGCAGGCCUAACACAUGCAAGUCGAGCGGAUGAAGGGAGCUUGCUCCUGGAUUCAGCGGCGGACGGGUGAGUAAUGCCUAGGAAUCUGCCUGGUAGUGGGGGAUAACGUCCGGAAACGGGCGCUAAUACCGCAUACGUCCUGAGGGAGAAAGUGGGGGAUCUUCGGACCUCACGCUAUCAGAUGAGCCUAGGUGGGAUUAGCUAGUUGGUGGGGUAAAGGCCUACCAAGGCGACGAUCCGUAACUGGUCUGAGAGGAUGAUCAGUCACACUGGAGCUGAGACACGGUCCAGACUCCUACGGGAGGCAGCAGUGGGGAAUAUUGGACAAUGGGCGAAAGCCUGGUCCAGCCAUGCCGCGUGUGUGAAGACGGUCUUCGGAUUGUAAAGCCCUUUAAGUUGGGAGGAAGGGCAGUAAGUUAAUACCUUGCUGUUUUGACGUUACCAACAGAAUAAGCACCGGCUAACUUCGUG